rnacentral:rRNA from 1 species
UACGGAGGAUCCGAGCGUUAUCCGGAUUUAUUGGGUUUAAAGGGUGCGCAGGCGGGGGAUUAAGUCGGCGGUGAAAUUUUGCAGCUCAACUGUAAAAGUGCCUUCGAAACUGGUUUCCUUGAGUGUAGAUGAAGUAGGCGGAAUUUGUGGUGUAGCGGUGAAAUGCUUAGAUAUCACGAGGAACUCCGAUUGCGCAGGCAGCUUACUAAACUACUACUGACGCUCAGGCACGAAGGCGUGGGAUCAAACAGGAUUAGAUACCCCGGUAGUCCCUGAG